rnacentral:rRNA from 1 species
CCUACGGGUGGCUGCAGUGGGGAAUAUUGCACAAUGGGCGCAAGCCUGAUGCAGCCAAGCCGCGUGUGCGAAGAAGGCCUUCGGGUUGUAAAGCACUUUCAGCGGGGAGGAAGGCGGUGAGGUUAAUAACCUCAUCGAUUGACGUUACCCGCAGAAGAAGCACCGGCUAACUCCGUGCCAGCAGCCGCGGUAAUACGGAGGGUGCAAGCGUUAAUCGGAAUUACUGGGCGUAAAGCGCACGCAGGCGGUCUGUCAAGUCGGAUGUGAAAUCCCCGGGCUCAACCUGGGAACUGCAUUCGAAACUGGCAGGCUAGAGUCUUGUAGAGGGGGGUAGAAUUCCAGGUGUAGCGGUGAAAUGCGUAGAGAUCUGGAGGAAUACCGGUGGCGAAGGCUGCCCCCUGGACAAAGACUGACGCUCAGGUGCGAAAGCGUGGGGAGCAAACAGGAUUAGAUACCCGUGUAGUC